AUGAAAGACACUAUGGGGGUUCCGCCCGAACCCUAUGACUGGCCCAACAUCUGCCCGCUCCCCGGGUCGUCCAGAGAUCGGAGGUCUGCGUGUGAUCUUUACUGGCACCAGGCCUACCAGAUGAAUCAAGUCUCCGAGACUUGCCUGCCUCCUAUGCGGUAUACUCGCUGUUGCAAUGAAGCUUCAACUGGGCAGCAAAGGUGUUUUCACAAGCCGCGCCCUAUACUCCAACUCUUUUCUACCACGGUGCAUACCUUUCUGGAAGAUUGCACCAGACCAGUCGAGGUAUACGGUUAUAUUGCGGUCCGAGAUGACGAGGAUUAUCGCCGCAAUUAUCUUUUCAACCGAUCCCGAGAUGACCCGCUCACUAUCAACUCGGCCGGCGACUAUCUGCGCUUGUUGAGCCCCAAAAGAGGCAUCUCGAUGAAAUUCGAUUGCCUAGUUGAAGUGGAUAUUAGAACAAAGGCAUUGUCGGGUGAUAGUACAGAUGAUAAUCUUGUUGAUGGAUGCUUCGACCUAAUCGAGGGCCGGUCUAGUUUCGACGUCCUUUCUAGAAUCAAAAUGGAAGGUGAACAUGGUGCUCUUGUUUUUAAUCUUAUCAUAUUUCGAGACAGUGUCGAGGCGACCAUACAUAUGAACUUUUUGGAAGUGCCUGGAGAUGGGUUUGAUAUAAAGAUGUGUGGGUAUACUGCCAUCUGGAAGAACUUGUAUGCCUUCAUAGACGAUAAAGAAUGCGACUGCAAUAGCUUCGUGUCUUCAACUGGGAGUUUUUCACAAUAUUUUGUAGCAGCUGUGCAGAUGGAUGACACAUUGUUUAUUGAUUUUAUGGAGGGGAGUAUGCCAAUUUCAUUUAAAGCGGAUAUUCAUGGCAGCGAAGAAAAAGAAUAUUAUUUCUGUAAUAGUGCUGUGGUGUCUGUGAAAGUGUCUUGGUCGACAGUCCUCUACUAA
rnacentral:rRNA from 1 species